AUAGAGGAAGUUAGGCUGAGGGGCAGAGAGCGAGACUUUUCUAUUUUCCAAAAGCUCGGUCUGAGGCCCCUCAGUCUUGCUUCCUACCCCGCGC
rnacentral:pre_miRNA from 1 species